rnacentral:rRNA from 1 species
UAAUGGGGCGGUAUCCAUGUGUGAAUUCAUAGCACAUGAGAAGGCAGACCCAGGGAACUGAAACAUCUAAGUACCUGGAGGAACAGAAAGCAAAUGCGAUUCCCUGAGUAGCGGCGAGCGAAACGGGAUCAGCCCAAACCAAGAGGCUUGCCUCUUGGGGUUGUAGGACACUCAAUACGGAGUUACAAAAGAAGCGGUUAGGCGAAGCGACCUGGAACGGUC